rnacentral:rRNA from 1 species
CCUACGGGAGGCAGCAGUGGGGAAUAUUGCACAAUGGGGGGAACCCUGAUGCAGCGACGCCGCGUGAGUGAAGAAGUAUUUCGGUAUGUAAAGCUCUAUCAGCAGGGAAGAAAAUGACGGUACCUGACUAAGAAGCCUCGGCUAACUACGUGCCAGCAGCCGCGGUAAUACGUAGGGGGCAAGCGUUAUCCGGAUUUACUGGGUGUAAAGGGAGCGCAGACGGCUGUGCAAGUCUGGAGGGAAAGGCGGGGGUCCAACCCCCGGACUGCACUGGAAACUGUAAAGCUUGAGUGCAGGAGAGGUAAGCGGAAUUCCUAGUGUAGCGGUGAAAUGCGUAGAUAUUAGGAGGAACACCAGUGGCGAAGGCGGCUUACUGGACUGCAACUGACGUUGAGGCUCGAAAGCGUGGGGAGCAAACAGGAUUAGAUACCCUUGUAGUC